GCCCCCAUGGCGCAGUUGGUUAGCGCUUCGUACUUAUAUGGGUAACAUGAUGCGACGGUCGCCAGUUCGAGCCUGGCUGGGAGCA